AAGUACUUCCUUUGACAAAAGUAGAUUUCAGUGAAAGCACUUGUGAAGGGGUGGGGCCUGUUGAAGGAAUUAAAAGCAGGUGUGACCUUCAAGUUAGAGUUCUAGCAAGCUAGGAAGAACAGAGGACCAAAUGAGUUGUCUCGGAUCUUUGGUGUCGGGAGGAAUGGACAAGAUCCUGAGAACAUCAAUUUUAAUUCUAUGGCUUCAACUAGGCUGGGUGAGCGGCCAAGAGAAGAGUGGCCAGGAGCAGGUGAAGCAGGGCCCUCCAUCUCUGAUAGUCCAGGAAGGAGCUUUUUCUACUCUGAACUGCACUUAUGAGAACACAGCGUUUGACUACUUCGUAUGGUACCGGCAAUACCCUGGUCAAGGCCCUGCAUUACUACUAGCCGUGUUCUCGGUUAAGCGCACAAAGGAAGAUGGGAGAUUCACAGUUUUCGUCAGUGAAAGUGCCAAACAAUUUUCACUGCACAUCAUGGCUUGCCAGCCGGGAGACUCAGCCACCUACUUCUGUGCAGCAGCAAGUGCACAGUGCUCCCCAGGCACCUGCUGCCUGUACCCAAACCUGAAGCUGUGGCUCCAGCCAAGCCCUACUGUGCGGAGGAAGCAUUCACACGCAUGCGCAGUCUGAUUGGCCACAAAAAAUUCUCGAUACAUUCAAGAGGACUGGAAUGAUACAGACUUUAUUUUCUGAUCAAAGCAAAAUGGAUUCUGAAGGUCAACUGCAAAAAAAAAAUUGUCUCUGGAAACUCUCAAGUAUUUGGAAUUUAAGCCUUGAACUUUAAAAUACAAUAGCCUCCUCUUAACCACAGUUUCCUUUUCUGUGGUUUCAGUUGCCUGUGGUCAACCAUAGUCUGGAGGCAGAUGGGCCUCCUUCAGGCAUAUUGUCAACUAACAGUAGGUCACCAUGCCUACUCCGU